UACGUAGGGUGCAAGCGUUAAUCGGAAUUACUGGGCGUAAAGCGUGCGCAGGCGGCUUUGCAAGACAGAUGUGAAAUCCCCGGGCUUAAUCUGGGAACUGCAUUUGUGACUGCAUGGCUAGAGUGCGGCAGAGGGGGAUGGAAUUCCGCGUGUAGCAGUGAAAUGCGUAGAUAUGCGGAGGAACACCGAUGGCGAAGGCAAUCCCCUGGGCCUGCACUGACGCUCAUGCACGAAAGCGUGGGGAGCAAACAGG
rnacentral:rRNA from 1 species